rnacentral:rRNA from 1 species
CCUACUGGCGGCUGCAGUGGGGAAUAUUGGACAAUGGGGGGAACCCUGAUCCAGCCAUGCCGCGUGUGUGAAGAAGGCCCUCGGGUUGUAAAGCACUUUCAGUGAGGAAGAACGCCUGGUGGUUAAUACCCAUCAGGAAAGACGUCACUCACAGAAGAAGCACCGGCUAACUCCGUGCCAGCAGCCGCGGUAAUACGGAGGGUGCGAGCGUUAAUCGGAAUUACUGGGCGUAAAGCGCGCGUAGGUGGCUUGAUAAGCCGGUUGUGAAAGCCCCGGGCUCAACCUGGGAACGGCAUCCGGAACUGUCAAGCUAGAGUGCAGGAGAGGAAGGUAGAAUUCCCGGUGUAGCGGUGAAAUGCGUAGAGAUCGGGAGGAAUACCAGUGGCGAAGGCGGCCUUCUGGACUGACACUGACACUGAGGUGCGAAAGCGUGGGUAGCAAACAGGAUUAGAUACCCGUGUAGUC